rnacentral:lncRNA from 1 species
AGGAGAAGAUGAAUCAGAUGGAAGAACUAGCUUUAACGUAUGGUCCAUAGAAACUGCAACAAAACUAAUGCUUUGUGCCCAAUGAAGCAAACCCCUUGAAUUGUCAACCAUCGAAUGUCCGCCCAUAAGCUGCUUCCUUGCAGCAGGUUGCCCUAAAUUUGCUUUCAUAUAAGCAGUUGGCUUAGCAUGAGGGCUGUACAAAGGACUAGGUGAAGAAGGAAGAGUUCUUUCAGGGAUCAAACUCAUAUCUGACUGUUGCAAAGAAGAACCAUUACUAGUUGCGGACACCCCAUCAGACAGAGAUUUCCGCAGUUGCAGGGGCCAUCUCUUCAUCUCAGAUCCACCAACUGAAUAAAGGGCUUUCUGCCAUUCUGCUCGAAUAAAUUUCAAAGUAAAAACGUAUAUAUAGUGGCAAAUAUAAGAAGAAGCGAACUUAUUUAAUUAGCUAUAUGUACAAUCUAUUGACCACUAUCUCACAGAUAAGAACCAGAAAAAAAAUUAUGCGGAUAUAAGUAUGCCAAUCUAGUACAUAUGCCAUAUUACCAACAACCAUGCAUGCUUGAUAUGACUCAAAGUAAUAAAUCUAGAGCAUAAAUCUUACAUGGAUGAUUAAGAUUAAAACUAAUUUAAAAGGUAACAUGACCACUUAAAAAGCAAAAUGGUAUGUGUUAAUAUUAACCAUUCAUGGUUAGAUGGAGAGCCCAUUUGUCUCUGAUUAUUUAUGAAAUAAUAAUUUAUAAAGAAAUAAUACUUAAUUGUGUAUGCUUUAGAUAAAUUUAUAAAGAAAUAAUCAUUCUCAAAUUUGAUGGGUCACGCAUGAAUUUCAAUCAAUAGGAGAGGGAGGGUAGGAAAGAUAAUUGUAAAUAGUGUCACUCGCAUUCACUUUAUUAAAAAGUACCAUGGUGUAUAAUAUUUUAGAAAAAUUACCGACUGACCACUUAAUAACAUGUUUAACCAAUUAAAUAACAUCACCAACAGGGGCUUUGCGAUAAUUCUCACUUAACCAGCAUCCACCCUAGCUUGAUUGUUCUUCAAUUAACGUUUAGAAAAAGUCAUAUGCCACCCAAACCCAUGUUUGUACCUCACAAGAUAGCUGAGAAGCAGAGGCAGAAAUCUUACCAAGGUACUCAAGCUCAUAGAAACCUCCAAUGCGGGCUAUCACAAAAUCUCGAGGCUUUGCAAGGCCAGAGUCACAAGAUUGAAGUAUCAAACAGCCUUGCUGAAGAACUUGAACAAAUAGGCACUGCAACCCCUUCGUAUCCUGCCUACUGCUUAUUCCACCAAAAGGGAAAAUAUUGCAGUCAAGCAAUUCUCCUCUUGAGUCUGUCCAGAUGCAAACAAGCCAACGCCAGUCUUCUGUCCAUCCAUAGCAGCAAUGCAAGCUUGGAUGAGUCUUUUGAUCUGACCCAGAUCCAUCGAUGCUUGAAGCAGAAUCCCCACUUUUCUGUGCUUCAAUGACAACUUCUAUAAAUCAUGCUAACCUGGGCUAAAAUCAGCUGAUCUAAAAAGCUCAUGUACAUUCUCAACUAUACCUAAAUCUAUUUCUUCCUGGAACCAUCAGCAGGCUUUACAUAUAAUUUACAUACAGUCACAGUGCUUCUUGUAUGAUACAGUCUCCUCAGCUAAGUUUGGCUGUCUUUCCCCUUAAAACAAAUGAGCAAAUAUUUUAAUUGCUAUCAUUGUAUGUAAACUGCAGUCAAGAUUUCUCUGACUGCUUAAAGAGCUCUUUAUCAGCAAAAUGAAGAAGUCUUCUUAGUCUAAUAACCAUGUCACAGUGGAAUGGAAGUGCCGUCCGUCGCUCUAAGUACGCGGGGCUGACCGUCAUCCAUGACAAGGCGUGAAGCUCUGCUGCAAGGGACUCCAGAACCAAGUGGGUCUGAACUUCAAAAUCUUUGGCAUCCCAGCUUAAACCUCUACCACCUUGUUUGUUAAUUCCUCGGAUGAACUUCUCUUGCUGGAUGUUAGAACCUCCAUAAUAAUCGAUGAGGUUCACGGAAAGUACUGAAGGCCAUUCUUCUUUCAGGUUGCUUCUAUGGUCCUUUCUCAUGGAGGGUACCGCUUUUGAAACCACGAAUCCUGUGGAAAGUGGAAGAGCAGAACCCUUGCUAUGAAGGAGAUGAGCUAGAGGUGGAGACUCAGCAGUGAGGCAUGUCGGGAGCUGUAGAGCUGUUGGAGGAAGGAACCGCAUACUGGGAGAAGGAAUUAAAAUAUAUGCAGAAGACGUAGAACCAAGAGACUUCACUGGUGUGAAACCUUCCACGUAACCUGAAUAGACAUCUCACCACCAUUUAAUACUUGGAUGAUUUACUUCAUAAAGAAUAUCCAAAUAUAUUCAGUGCCCGUUUGGAUGCAAACCAGAAAACACUUAUUGGAGCUUAUUCAAUGUAUUUUCUAGUAGAUAAGCUCCAAUAAGUCCGUAUCCAAACGGGCCCUAAUACUAUUCCUUUUUAACCAAAAACAGGUGUGAACUAUAAGCAAAGUUCCAUCCUUUGGUCUAAUGUUUUAGCCUUAUACUAUACAGCAUACCAAACGGGCCCUUAAUAUACACUUGCACACACAGUAUUAGUUUUCAGUUAGUUACAAUGAGCUGUUGUACAGCUGCACAGUUAGUUAGAGCUGAUGUUAACUGAAUCAUCUUCAGUUAUCAUUAUAUAUUCACUUUUGUAUUACAUGUAAUAAUCAAUUCGAUAAGAAAUAGAUUCAGAAUAUGAAUUAUUUUUUCUCUUCUCUUGAAUUCUAUCAGUCACUUUUUCACAUGUAUCACCUUAGGCACAAUUCCACCAUCUUUUCUUCAGAGGUGCUGCUACUACUUUCUAACAAACUCAUUUCUAAUCUUGUGAAUUGAUCCAUUCUUAUAUGUCCACAAAUCCAUCACAACACUCAUCUCAUUAAGUGAUUUAAUAGGGGGACAAAAUUAUUGAAGUAAAGAUUACUCACCAGGAGAAGAUGAAUCAGAUGGAAGAACUAGCUUUAACGUAUGGUCCAUAGAAACUGCAACAAAACUAAUGCUUUGUGCCCAAUGAAGCAAACCCCUUGAAUUGUCAACCAUCGAAUGUCCGCCCAUAAGCUGCUUCCUUGCAGCAGGUUGCCCUAAAUUUGCUUUCAUAUAAGCAGUUGGCUUAGCAUGAGGGCUGUACAAAGGACUAGGUGAAGAAGGAAGAGUUCUUUCAGGGAUCAAACUCAUAUCUGACUGUUGCAAAGAAGAACCAUUACUAGUUGCGGACACCCCAUCAGACAGAGAUUUCCGCAGUUGCAGGGGCCAUCUCUUCAUCUCAGAUCCACCAACUGAAUAAAGGGCUUUCUGCCAUUCUGCUCGAAUAAAUUUCAAAGUAAAAACGUAUAUAUAGUGGCAAAUAUAAGAAGAAGCGAACUUAUUUAAUUAGCUAUAUGUACAAUCUAUUGACCACUAUCUCACAGAUAAGAACCAGAAAAAAAAUUAUGCGGAUAUAAGUAUGCCAAUCUAGUACAUAUGCCAUAUUACCA